GUAGCCCGAUCCCUGCAAACUAGUCAGGCCCCCGAUCCAGUCUUGACCUGAACUCAUCUUGGCCCUGAGAGUUUAAACGUACCUUCCCGAAUUUCAGACCUUCAGCGCCCUACAGGGCCGUCGUGACCCGGCAGCAGACCUUGAACCUGAAUUAACCUCAACAAGGAGGCCCAGCCGACAGGAGAACCUGGUGGUAAGGCAGAUACUGUGUGUGUCUGAACUGCUUAACAAUAAAGCAAAGAUAGCGAGUUGA